AUCCAGCCGACGUGUCCCGAAUAGGACGAAACGCGCGUCCUGGAU
rfam:Schistosoma rodhaini strain Burundi genome assembly, scaffold: SROB_scaffold0002880